rnacentral:rRNA from 1 species
GACGAACGCUGGCGGCGUGCCUAAUACAUGCAAGUAGAACGCUGAAGGAGGAGCUUGCUCUUCUGGAUGAGUUGCGAACGGGUGAGUAACGCGUAGGUAACCUGCCUGGUAGCGGGGGAUAACUAUUGGAAACGAUAGCUAAUACCGCAUAAGAGUAGAUGUUGCAUGACAUUUGCUUAAAAGGUGCAAUUGCAUCACUACCAGAUGGACCUGCGUUGUAUUAGCUAGUUGGUGGGGUAACGGCUCACCAAGGCGACGAUACAUAGCCGACCUGAGAGGGUGAGCGGCCACACUGGGACUGAGACACGGCCCAGACUCCUACGGGAGGCAGCAGUAGGGAAUCUUCGGCAAUGGACGGAAGUCUGACCGAGCAACGCCGCGUGAGUGAAGAAGGUUGUCGGAUCGUAAAGCUCUGUUGUAAGAGAAGAACGAGUGUGAGAGUGGAAAGUUCACACUGUGACGGUAUCUUACCAGAAAGGGACGGCUAACUACGUG